GCACAAGCAGCGGAGCGUGUGGUUUAACUCGAUGCUACACGAAGAACCUUACCAGGGUUUGACAUGCAAGUGGUAGGAACCGAAAGGCGACCGACCCUUCGGGGAGCUUGCACAGGUGCUGCAUGGCUGUCGUCAGCUCGUGUCGUGAGAUGUUCGGUUAAGUCCGCUAACGAGCGCAACCCUCGCUGUGUGUUACAAGUGUCACACGGUACUGCCGGUCUUAAGCCGGAGGAAGGUGGGGAUGACGUCAAGUCAGCAUGGCCUUUAUGACCAGGGCUACACACGUACUACAAUGGCCGGUACAAAGGGCAGCGACACAGCGAUGUGAAGCGAAUCCCGAAAAGCCGGUCUCAGUCCGGAUUGGAGUCUGCAACUCGACUCCAUGAAGUUGGAAUCGCUAGUAAUCGCGGAUCAGCACGCCGCGGUGAAUACGUUCCCGGGCCUU
rnacentral:rRNA from 1 species